rnacentral:rRNA from 1 species
UCUUGAGAGUGGCGCACGGGUGCGUAACACGUAUGUAACCUACCUUAAUCAGGGGGAUAGCCUCUCGAAAGAGAGAUUAAGACCGCAUAACAUUGCACUAUGGCAUCAUAGAACAAUCAAAUAUUUAUAGGAUUAAGAUGGGCAUGCGGAACAUUAGCUAGUUGGUAAGGUAAUGGCUUACCAAGGCUACGAUGUUUGGGGGAUCUGAGAGGAUGACCCCCCACACUGGUACUGAGACACGGACCAGACUCCUACGGGAGGCAGCAGUAAGGAAUAUUGGUCAAU